rnacentral:rRNA from 1 species
GGUAAAGCUUUUGCGGUUUGGGAUGGGCCUGCGUCCUAUCAGGUAGUUGGUGAGGUAAGUGCUCACCAAGCCUAUGACGGGUAGCUGGUCUGAGAGGAUGGUCAGCCAGACUGGGACUGCGACACGGCCCAGACUCCUACGGGAGGCAGCAACUAGGAAUUGUGCGCAAUGGACGAAAGUCUGACGCCGCGACAUCGCGUGGAGGAUGAAGGUCUUCGGAUUGUAAACUCCUUUUCUUACCGAACAAGUUCUGAGUGUAGGUAAGGAAUAAGUGCCUGCUAACCACGUGCCAGAAGCAUCGGUAAUACGUGGGGCACGAGCGUUAUCCGGAUUUACUGGGCGUAAAGAGAAGCGUAGGCGGCUCGAUAAGUUUGGUGUUAAAUCUUCCGGCUCAACCGGAAACAAGCACCGAAAACUAUCGAGAUUGAGUCGAGUAGGGAAGAGGGGAAUUCCUGGUGGAGCGGUUAAAUGCGUAGAUAUCAGGAGGAAUACCAAGGGCGAAGGCACCUCUUUGGACUCGUACUGACGCUGAGGCUCGAAAGCGUGGGUAGCAAAACGGAUUAGAUACCCGUGUAGUCCACGCCGUAAACGAUCCCUGUUAGAUGUAUGUUUUGUC